UACGUAGGGGGCGAGCGUUGUCCGGAGUUACUGGGCGUAAAGCGCACGCAGGCGGUCUGCUAAGUUUGGAGUGACAGUUGGUGGCUUAACUGCCAAAGUGCUUCGAAAACUGACAGACUUGAGGGCUUCAGAGGGACACGGAAUUCCGGGUGGAGUGGUGAAAUGCGUAGAGAUCCGGAGGAACACCAAAGGCGAAGGCAGUGUCCUGGGGAGUACCUGACGCUCAGGUGCGAAAGCCAGGGGGGCGAACGGG
rnacentral:rRNA from 1 species